rnacentral:lncRNA from 1 species
CGCGGAGGAGGGGGAGGAGCAGGAGCAGUGGCGCAGGAGCCGGCAGCGUAGACGGAGGGAGAGGAGUAGCGCGAGGGGCGCGGACGGAGGGGUCGCCGGGGACGCUUGGCGCGCCACCACACAACGGUCCCGGGCCGCCGCGGGGAGGCAGAGAGGCGACACGGGAGGUUUGUGCUGGCUGCCCUGCUUCUCCUUGUUACUGGUGGAUCUUCUGAUGUGCAGAUGGCUAGUUUGCGCCCAUCAGUGCUAAAACUUUGAACUCUUGUUCUUCGUCGGAAAUCCGACUGAAUUCCCAUCUCGUUCUGAAUUGAGUUCUGAUUGCCGGGUUACAGAGGUGAGAGGAUAGCCGAACAGCGGGCUCGCAGUCGCAGGGUCACUAUGCGAGAGCACAUAUCCUCGCAUGGCAGGUUACAUGUAGCCCUAUAAAAUCAAAUUCAGCCCCAUGUUACCUGAUUUCCUGUGAAUGGAUUUUACUGCUUUUCAGUUUUGGACACUGUGUAACUUGUUGUAUUUCUGGAGCAGUGCUGCGAGAGGAGGCUAUGAAGUACGUCCAAUACUUAACCUACAGCCAUCUAAUAUGCAAAUUUAAUAAUAGAAGAAGAUGACCUCAUUUAUAUACUGGAAAAUGAAAAACAAAAAAUGUAUAAGAAGACCCAAUUCCUCUUUUAUGUGCACCUUGUGUGCGUAGACACUGGACUACAAUUGUAGCAACAAAGAGUAUAUCAAUUUAUCGGGUAAUAGAAAUAGUGCUACUUCUUUGGAUGCAGUCACAAAGACAAGACUUUUUGUGAUUAGAGAGGGUACUUUCUUACUUGCUGAUCACUGAAUGUGUGAGUGAUCAUUAUUAUGUUGGAUUGGUAGAUGUUGUUUGAUGCCAUAAAAAGGCUUUGUACCUGAAUCAACUAUAGAGUGCCCAAAGAAAGAAGAAAUAAACACUUUUGAUAAUUUAGCACCAUUAAAAAAUCGAUGAACUAACCUUUUUUUUAAGACUCUUCUGGGAUAUGUAGGUCAACGAAUGUACUGAGUUGGGGGUUCUCAAACAGUUUGACAUUUGGGUGAGUGUCAUUUGUCUUGAAAUUCGUUGCAUCUGGUACGCAUCAUUUCUGUGCAACCAAUUGGACUCAUCAUCUUCAUAAAUAUUCUCUUUUUCGUCGAGGAUGUCUCUGUUGAAAUGCAUGGAAUUUGAUACUGCACCACCUGCACAUGUUAUGUUCUGCAGUUGUGUGACUGCCAAUUGUCCGGUAGCUGGCAUGUGUGACACAAUGUUACUGCCAUUGAGGACGGCAGCAAUAUGCUUAUUUUGCUUGCGGGUUUGACGUUGUCGCUUUAAUAUUUCCUCUCUAUUUUGUGCAUACCACUCCAUUUCCAUCCGAUUAUUAAUCUCAUUACGGUCUGAAUAUAUGAAGAAUAGAUCAUUAUAUAGUAAUACAACUGGGCCAUAUAUCAUGAAGUUGAUCAUUGUUACCUUGUGACAUAGCCAACUGUGUGUGUACUCUGUUAUUUAGGCCAUUGAUCUUGGCAGCGGCAAUUUUUUUUCUGUUUCUAGGCCUCACGCCGUCUCUUAUUAAUCUCAUCCCUAUUUUGUGCAUAUUGCUCUCUAUCCAUCUGCCUUUUUAUUUCUUUAGGGUCUGCAAAUCAUGACACAAUUCAGCAGUUGAGAGUGGUAGGGGCCAUACGAAGUCCUUCAACCCUGUGAAUGUAAGAGUGUUAUCAUACAACUAUCUUUGAAGGAAUAGUAUUACCGGAAUACAGACAUAGUAGAGUUUUGUUUAUCAACUCCCACCAACUGUUUACCUUCAGAGCUUUCUUGUGGUACCUCUGGUUACCCAAAUGAAUUCAAUUUGCAUUAAUAUACUUAGUAUAAUGCUACAAGAUGUAGUUAUUUGUAAUACUAUUCAUCUAGGUCUGUUACCCAAAUGAAUUCAAUUUGCAUUAAUUUACUUGCGUAAUGCUACAGAAUAUAAUAGUUUGUAAUACUAUUCAUCUAGGUCUGCUACCCAAAUUAAUUCAGUUUGCAUUAAUAUACUUGGCAUAAUGUAACAGCAUGUAGUAGUUUGUAAUACUAUUCAUCUAGGUCUCAGAGUGUGGCUUUUUUUAUGUUCAUAUUACUUUAACUGAGCAAUGGGUGAACCAUAUGCAGCUUGGUGAGGCUUUUAGGUGAGGUCAGUACCAUGUGCAUUUGCCAAGGCUUCAUGGUACGAUUUCAGGUUUAGGUCAAGUACGUACAAUAGGGAUCAUGUUAGCAUAUGCUCAUGCCAUAAGAGUCAUUCUUGUUUUUGAUGAAUUAUAGAAUGCCAACAUGUUUUUUAUCAUUAUAAUACGCAGAAAAGCAAGAGGAUCAAUCAAAUGGAUCACACUGGCAACAUGUUGGCAAAUAAGC